rnacentral:rRNA from 1 species
GUGAGGAAUAUUGGUCAAUGGGCGGGAGCCUGAACCAGCCAAGUCGCGUGAAGGAAGAAGGAUCUAUGGUUCGUAAACUUCUUUUGCAGGGGAAUAAAGUGCAGGACGUGUCCUGUUUUGUAUGUACCCUGAGAAUAAGGAUCGGCUAACUCCGUGCCAGCAGCCGCGGUAAUACGGAGGAUCCGAGCGUUAUCCGGAUUUAUUGGGUUUAAAGGGUGCGUAGGUGGUUUGAUAAGUCAGCGGUGAAAGUUUGCAGCUUAACUGUAAAAAUGCCGUUGAAACUGUCGGACUUGAGUGUAAAUGAGGUAGGCGGAAUGCGUGGUGUAGCGGUGAAAUGCAUAGAUAUCACGCAGAACUCCGAUUGCGAAGGCAGCUUACUAAGCUACAACUGACACUGAAGCACGAAAGCGUGGGUAUCAAACAGGAUUAGAUACCCUGGUAGUCC